rnacentral:rRNA from 1 species
GGGGGCACCCUGAUCCAGCCAUGCCGCGUGUGUGAAGAAGGCCUUUUGGUUGUAAAGCACUUUAAGCAGUGAAGAAGACUCCGUGGUUAAUACCCACGGACGAUGACAUUAGCUGCAGAAUAAGCACCGGCUAACUCUGUGCCAGCAGCCGCGGUAAUACAGAGGGUGCAAGCGUUAAUCGGAAUUACUGGGCGUAAAGCGAGCGUAGGUGGCUUGAUAAGUCAGAUGUGAAAUCCCCGGGCUUAACCUGGGAACUGCAUCUGAUACUGUUAGGCUAGAAUAGGUGAGAGGAAGGUAGAAUUCCAGGUGUAGCGGUGAAAUGCGUAGAGAUCUGGAGGAAUACCGAUGGCGAAGGCAGCCUUCUGGCAUCAUAUUGACACUGAGGUUCGAAAGCGUGGGUAGCAAACAGGAUUAGAUACCCUGGUAGUCCACGCCGUAAACGAUGUCUACUAGUCGUUGGGUCCCUUGAGGACUUAGUGACGCAGCUAACGCAAUAAGUAGACCGCCUGGGGAGUACGGCCGCAAGGUUAAAACUCAAAUGAAUUGACGGGGGCCCGCACAAGCGGUGGAGCAUGUGGUUUAAUUCGAUGCAACGCGAAGAACCUUACCUGGUCUUGACAUAUCUAGAAUCCUGCAGAGAUGCGGGAGUGCCUUCGGGAAUUAGAAUACAGGUGCUGCAUGGCUGUCGUCAGCUCGUGUCGUGAGAUGUUGGGUUAAGUCCCGCAACGAGCGCAACCCUUGUCCUUAGUUACCAGCGGGUUAAGCCGGGAACUCUAAGGAUACUGCCAGUGACAAACUGGAGGAAGGCGGGGACGACGUCAAGUCAUCAUGGCCCUUA